rnacentral:rRNA from 1 species
AACGAACGCUGGCGGCAGGCUUAACACAUGCGAGUCGAGCGCCCCGCAAGGGGAGCGGCAGACGGGUGAGUAACGCGUGGGAACGUACCUUUUGGUUUGGAACAACUUCGGGAAACUGGAGCUAAUACCGGAUAAGCCCUAACGGGGAAAGAUUUAUCGCCGAAGGAUCGGCCCGCGUCUGAUUAGCUAGUUGGUGAGGUAACGGCGCACCAAGGCGACGAUCAGUAGCUGGUCUGAGAGGAUGAUCAGCUACACUGGGACUGAGACACGGCCCAGACUCCUACGGGAGGCAGCAGUGGGGAAUAUAGGACAAGGGACGCAAGCCUGAUCCAGCCAUGCCGCGUGAGUGAUGAAGGCCUUAGGGUUGUAAAGCUCUUUUGUCCGGGAAGAUAAUGACUGUACCGGAAGAAUAAGCCCCGGCUAACUUCGUG